rnacentral:rRNA from 2 species
UUGACCUCGGAUCAGGUAGGGAUACCCGCUGAACUUAAGCAUAUCAAUAAGCGGAGGAAAAGAAACCAACAGGGAUUGCCCUAGUAACGGCGAGUGAAGCGGCAACAGCUCAAAUUUGAAAUCUGGCCCUUUCAGGGUCCGAGUUGUAAUUUGUAGAGGAUGCUUUUGGGCAGCCACCGGUCUAAGUUCCUUGGAACAGGACGUCAUAGAGGGUGA